UCACCGGGAGCAGAGUGGCUACGGCCCCUCAGAGCCGACCUUUCGCUUCGAUCUGAGCUGGUGCCUGCCACAUAGUGACUCCCGGUAACC
rnacentral:pre_miRNA from 1 species